AAACCCUUGAAACUGUGUGUUGCUUUGGACAGCUGUUUCACAGACAUUCAUUUAUAUAUUUGAGUGACCCCUGAUGGCCUUUCAGAUUUGAUCUUUGCUUGAGCAUUGAGGAUGAACUGGCUGUCUAAAUGACCAAAAUGAUACUCAUGUUUUGAUUAGUAGUUGUACCUUAACUUUAAAAAUUGAAAUUCAAUUGGAGUUUACCACUAGCUGUGAAGACGAGCUACGUAUCUUCUGUACUUUGAACACAUGGUAAGGAAAUACAUUCAUCUUUUCACUGAGAACUGCUCACCUAAUUGCUUGGUACAGUCAUGUUCAACGAUAUGUAGUUGAUUAAAAAAUGACAAAUAUUGUGACCAGCUGCCCUUUUGAUGUCAAAUAAUGUGGAAGAUUGAACACCAUGCUGAUCCGUUAGCCAUUUCCAGGUCUGGCUCUUUUCAAGUUAUGUACAGUCAUUU
rnacentral:lncRNA from 1 species